rnacentral:rRNA from 1 species
UAGUCCACGCCGUAAACGAUGAUUACUCGGUGCCGGGUUUGUAUUCGGUGCCCAAGCGAAAGUGAUAAGUAAUCACCUGGGGAGUACGUUCGCAAGAAUGAAACUCAAAGGAAUUGACGGGGGCCCGCACAAGCGGUGGAGCAUGUGGUUUAAUUCGAUGAUACGCGAGGAACCUUACCAGGGCUUAAAUGUAGGACGACGGUUUUGGAAACAAGACUUUCUUCGGACGACUUGCAAGGUGCUGCAUGGUUGUCGUCAGCUCGUGCCGUGAGGUGUCAGGUUAAGUCCUAUAACGAGCGCAACCCCUAUCGUUAGUUGCCAGCGUGUCAUGACGGGGACUCUAACGAGACUGCCGGUGUAAACCGAGAGGAAGGCGGGGAUGACGUCAAAUCAUCACGGCCCUUACGUCCUGGGCUACACACGUGCUACAAUGGUCGGUACAGAGGGCAGCUACACCGCGAGGUGAUGCAAAUCUCUAAAACCGAUCUCAGUUCGGAUCGCAGUCUGCAA